AGCAGUCGCCGCGGGAAUACGGAGGGUGCAAGCGUUGUCCGGAUUUAUUGGGUUUAAAGGGUGCGUAGGCGGCUAUUUAAGUCAGCGGUGAAAGACUCCGGCUCAACCGGAGCAGUGCCAUUGAUACUGGAUAGCUUGAGUGUUGGAGGGGUACAUGGAAUUGAUGGUGUAGCGGUGAAAUGCAUAGAUACCAUCAGGAACACCGAUAGCGAAGGCAUUGUACUGGCCAACAACUGACGCUGAGGCACGAAAGCAUGGGGAGCGAACAGGAUUAGAUACCCCAGUAGUCCCUGUCUCUUAUAC
rnacentral:rRNA from 1 species